CAAAAACAUUGCUUUUUGAAAUAUCUAUAAAAAGUAUCUCCUGCCCAGUGACUUCUGUUCAACGGCCGCGGUAUCCUAACCGUGCAAAGGUAGCAUAAUCAUUUGCCUAUUAAUUGUGGGCUAGAAUGAAUGGAUAACCGAAAUAAACCCUGUCUCUACUAGCAACGUAAAAAUUAUCUUCUAAAUGAAGAGAUUUAGAUAAAAUUGUAGGACAAGAAGACCCUAUAGAGCUUCUACUAAAAUAUUAACUUUCCCUUAAUUUAUAGUUUGAUUGGGGCGAUCAAGGAAUUAAUUAAUCAUCCUAUCAUAUUAAGAAUAAUACUUCACUUAAAAGAUCCUCUAUAGAGAUCAUGAAAAAGCUACCUUAGGGAUAACAGGCUAAUCUUAUUAGAGAGUUCUUAUUAAUAAUAAGGGUUGGCACCUCGAUGUUGGCUUAGGGUAUUCUAAAUGGCGCAAAAGUCGUAAUAGAUGGUUUGUUCAACCAAUGACUCCCUACGUGAUCUGAGUUCAGACCGG
rnacentral:rRNA from 1 species